rnacentral:sRNA from 1 species
GGAUGUGAGGGCAAUCUGGCUGUGACAUCUGUCACCCCAUUGAUCGCCAGGGUUGAUUUGGCUGAUCUGGCUGGCUAGGCGGGUGUCCCCUUCCUCCCUCAAUGAUCCAUGUGCGUCCCUCCCGAAGCUGCCCACUCGGUCGAAGAGGAUGACCACCCCCGAUAGAGGAGGACUGUUCCUCGGUCAAGGGUAUACGAGUAGCUGCGCUCCCCUGCUAGAACCUCCAAACAAGCUCUCAAAAAUACAUGACAUUGACUUUUGAGUCUUCUGUAGCCCUGGGUUUGUGAAAAACAGAUGCAUGAGGCUAGUGACUUGAACUUAGAUGU